rnacentral:rRNA from 1 species
GCUUACGGCCACACCGCCUUUCCACGCCCGAUCUCGUUUGAUCUCGGAAGCUAAGAUAGGUUGGGCCUGGUUAGUACUUGGAUGGGAGACCGCCUGGGAAUACCAGGUGCUGUAGCUU